ensembl:lncRNA
GGUUUUCCGAGCAGAGCCAGACCUCACGUUCUACUCGCCGUGAUCUCCCGAAUACUUAAACACGCAGGUUACGUCAACGUCGAUACCUUUACAAUCGCCCUACGUGGAAACUUAAUUACUACCUUACACUACGCACACACAGACGCAGACUAUAAGCUUAACAUGUGAAAAAACUUGAAAUAAGUCAUGUUUGCCGAUAAAGAAUAAUUCAAAUCAUUUCACACUUGAGCGCGCGCUGAUGCACAUUGCAACUUGUCUGCCCGCGCGAUAGUUUCCGAGUCCUCGCCACACUGUAACUUGACAUGGGGUUGAACAGGGACAGCAAACAGUGGCUGACAUCAAUUCUUCCCCCAAAAAAACGUCAACAUCGUGAAUGAAAGUACACACACAAAAUACGCGUUAACAACAUGCAGGAGAAGCAGCUCUGUCAAUUUGCUAGGUGCCCGUAUCUUUUGGACUCACCUCGGUGAGCGAAUCAACACGGCGGUGACGUCAACGGAGAGAGAGUCAGCCGGCGCUGUCUUGUAUCCGUGGACUGCGAAAGUGAGACACCUAGGGGGCUAUCAUCUCAUCUUAAAAUGUGUACAUUAUUGUAAGGCAAUUAGAGCGUGCCCACGUGUAUAUUCAAUAUGGAUAUUGUUAUGCUGGCUACCGGGCUCUUCCUCAGCCAAGAUAGAAAAAAACGUCAACAAGACAGAAUUGAACGAAUAUCCCAUACACAAUACAUUUUGUUAGGGAACAUUAUUGCUUUAUUGAAUUGUAAUGUUAAAGAUUUUUUAUUAUGGAGGUAGAUAAGUAUCUUAUUAUGGAGCAUAUACCAUACAGCAAAAUACUAAUUUGCUUUUUAAAAAUCGGUGUAAAUAUCCAAUUGAUUACAUGUGUAAGUUAUCAACCCAGAGACAAUCUACUUUCUGCAUAGCUGUUGCCUUAAAAAAUCAUUAAGCUAAUUAUUCUUCCUUCUCAUCCUGAUAGCCUAGCUGUAAUGCUCUAUUUGAACAGUGUGCUUGUGAAUGAGAUACGGGGGGCCUUUGAGUUCACACAGAUUAUCACCCAAUGACUCCAUUAGGCCUAUCAGUGACCGUGUUCACAACUUCCAAAACCUUUGACAUUAGAAUGUAUUGUACACUGCGCAUAAAAGCGUUUGCAUAAUGAUAAGACCAUUUACUCAGCAUCCAAAUAACCAACCCCGGGGCCCUGGAAUUACGAUAACUCCUGAAAGAGGAACCAAACAUAAAAAUAAAACAACACAGGCAGCACCGCCCCCGAAAAAAACAAAAAACUAACACGAAACUGGUUAUUCAAAUAACUGUGAUUUUAUUGGCAUACAAUGGUGGCAAGUGAUGUCCCUUCUGUUAUAUGAUAGUACUUUAUUGACGGGUAUGAAUUGCAAUGGGUGCUGUGUUCGUCAUGUGGUUCAACUUUUUUUUCAAACCAGCAGAAGUGCAACAAACAAGGAAGGGGCUGUGAUUAUCUUUUCCUCGUUUGCUCAUGCAGGAAGAGUCCUUUAUCUGCCAUGCAAACUAUGGAUGAUUGUGACUUAUGGUUUCAAAAACGAAUAGUUAGUGGGCAGGAAGAACGACGACUGAGAUCUUUAUUUUAUAACAGAGAAGGACAUCACUAAUGCCACAAUGUAGAGUUUUAUGUACAGUUU